ensembl:snRNA U2 U2 spliceosomal RNA
AUUGUUUCUCAGCCUCUUGGCUAAUAUCAAGUAUAGUAUCUCUUCUUCUCAGUUUAAUACCUGACACAUCCUCUAUCCAAGGACAAUAUUGUAAAUAGAUAUUUGGAACUAGGAGAUGGAAUAGGAGCUUCCUCCAUCCACUCCAAGCAUCGACCCAGUAUUGCAUUACCUCCAAGAACAGCACACCCCUC